AGUGUUUAUUUUUAUUAUGUAGACUGCAUAACUCUUUAUUGCAUCAACAAGAUUAUCAGAUCUAGUAGAGUAAAGCUCAGUUGACUCAGAAUCGACCCUGUUUUGAAUACAACUAGAUCAACAACUUCUGAAACUCCAAUAAUACUACCUGCAAGUGCUGCUGAAAGAAAAAUAACCCUAACAGCCUUUAAAUUUACUACAUAGAUUCUAAUGCUGACAACAUCAUUUAGAUCUAGAUGCUGCCUGAAGAUUUCAUGUCUGUGACAUUUUACUUCUCGAGAAAAGAUCUUUUCCCUUUGCAACUUCUGGUGUGGCUAGAGAGGCCAAUCCUUGAUACACAGCUGUAGUCACCAGGCACCAUUGCAUUGUCACCUUUCUUCCUGCUGCUGUUGUGUAUGGCAUCUGCAAUCCGAGACCCUUCCUUUAUGCUCUCUCCAUGUGGAUCUAUCCAGUGCCACCUUUUCCCAGCUGCUAGUGUCGAUUUUGAAGAUGCACACUAUGGUAAACUCAAUGCAGUUGAGUCCAAUAAUCUCCAUGUCCACAUUGUUUCAACAAGAAC